rfam:Salmo salar isolate Sally breed double haploid chromosome ssa01, whole genome shotgun sequence.
UGCAUUCACUACUGUAAGUCGCUCUGGAUAAUAGCGUUUGCUAAAUGACUUAAA